rnacentral:lncRNA from 1 species
CUCGGAACUGCAUUCAGCCGCGUCUGCCAUACAGGGUCAUUCUCACGGUAGACUCGGGGUAUGCCUCGCUGUCAGGUGCGUCCACUGUACAGUUCCAUAUGCCAACGAUGUGCGUACCAAACUAAUUGCCCCAAGACAAUCUUUCAUAGAGCCACGGAGAUUUCUGCCCUGACCAGAGCUGCGGGAAUUACAGAUAGAAGGGGCCAAGGCCACCACUCGAGUCCCCUUCUUGAAAGAGAACUGUACUUUAUUGGUUUCCUUUGGGAAGACGAUUUCAUCUAUGAUACUGGAGAUAAGAGAUGAAAGUGAGAUGUGGUGCAAUUACAUUUAUCAGUGAGGUAAUCAACCUGGCCUAUAACUAAGGUGAGUAACUAGUUAGAUUAAUGGAAAAAAAACUAUUAAAUUUGUAUGCCAUGUGCUUAUGUACAGUGGGUUUUAUUUUAUUAUUUUAAGACAUAAUUUAGUCUCAUACCUCAAAAACUCCACACUCACAUGAAAGUGUUUUUUAAAAAAGUAACCAAGCUUCCAAAGAGCCUCAUUAGCAGUACUGGCAUUAAGGAGUACGUGAAAUAUUUUAAGGUUAUUCAUUAUUUUUACAUCAUUUUAUUCUAUUGAAUUUUCCGUGAAGGUAACAAAAAUUUCUUUCUAUUUUCAAAUUUUAGGUAAUAAAACAACAUUUGCAUUAAAUAAGAAUUUGACUUGAAUACUGAAUCUGUGCCUAUAACUAAAUAGAUUACAGUCAGGUUGUAAAUCUAUCAGUAAGUUAAAUCAAUAAGAACCAUGAAAUUACUGGAUUUAUGGUGGUAACUAAUUUAUAAUGGUACACAGGUGAAUUGUUG